CCCCCCACCACCUUUUGAGAUGGUCUCAUGUGGCCCAGGCUGGCCUUGAGUGUACUGUGAACUGAAGAUCACCUUGAGUUUCUGACCCUCCUGCCCCCACCUCCCGUAUACUGAAAUUAAAGCUUGUUCUACCACCCAGGCACAGUGCUGUGCAUCAAACCCUGGCCUGCAUGGAUUAGAAUGGCACCACCAACUUAGACACGCCCCCCACUUCCUCGCCCUGCCUCUUUACGGUGUAUUUACUUACUGUGUGUGUGUGUGUGUGUGUGUGUGUGUGUGUGCCUGAGUGUGUGAGUGUGCACCCAGGGCAUGCAGGAGCCCGAGGAGAUCAGAAAGUGUGCCGGAUACUUGAGACUGGAGUUAGAGAUGUUUGUGAGCCACCGUGGAGGUGCUGGGAACCCAAGUGCUCAGCAAGCAUGGCAGUGCUCAUAACUGGUGAGCCAACUCUCCCACCGGAAUCUGCCCCUUUAAAAAGAGAAGCGUAACUAUGAACCUUUUAAAUUUAUUUUUACUUUAUGGGUCUGUGUGUUUUGCCUGCAUGCAUGCCUGUGCGCCCCUUGUGCCCAAGGAGGCCAGAAGAGGAGUCGGAUCCCCUAGAACUGGAGUCACAGACAGUCGUGAGCUGCCCUGCGGGGGCUGAGAAUUGAACCCGGGUCCUCUGGAAGAGCAGCCAGGGCUCCUAACCACUGAGCCAUCUCUCCAGCCCCCAUAUCCAUAAAACCUGCUAGUCAGUCACAGCACAGAUGAGUGUGACUGGAAACAAAAUGUCCAGCAGAGGACUACAAACACUUGCUGAGCACACACAUCACGGCCUUCAGGGAGGUCCAGGGCAAGACCUGGGAUUGCACCAUGGCUGGUCGUGGGUGGUUUCUGACAACUGCUCGGUGCCAAAAAGCAGAGGCGGCCAGGUCUGGGGAUGCAGAAGAGAGGAGCUGUGAUUUCAAAAUGUGGCCUGCAGGCGGCCAAGGUGGAGAAGCACACUGGCCGCGCUCUGGAAUCAAAGAAGGACGGCUGAGAACGGAGGCCAGCCUGUGCUGCACAGUGAGGCCCCCGUCCUGAGGACGGAGGGCCAGCCUGUGCUGCACAGUGAGGCCCCCGUCCUGAGGACGGAGGGCCAGCCUGUGCUGCACAGUGAGGCCCCCGUCCUGAGGACGGAGGGCCAGCCUGUGCUGCACAGUGAGGCCCCCGUCCUGAGAACGGAGGGCCAGCCUGUGCUGCACAGUGAGGCCCCCAUCCUGAGAACGGAGGGCUAGCCUGUGCUGCACAGUGAGGCCCCCAUCUUAAACAGCUAAAGUGAAAAUGUGACCUUGUGCUUAGAACGCUUGACACUGCGGGCUUAAUGCCUAGCACUCCAAAAUAAAUAAGAAUAAAAACAAA